GGCCCAGCUUCUUGCCCAGCAUGAUCAGCAAUACAAGAUCAAACUUAGCUCAUACAAGAUCUGAACAGGAAAACUUAGGGAACAAAACAGAAGGCAACACAUCCAAGGGCUCAGUAGUAACAGUAAAGCAUGCACACACACACAACCACUCAUCAGACCAUAUAUCCUGUCACUGAUUUCAAGUUUAAGUGGGGUUGCAAUGCCCAAGAAAAUAUUACUCAAUGGUACACAAGGAUAUGCAAGGAUGUAAGACUACAAACACAAGUCAGUCGGACCGUGAUGGCUUCUGCAACUUUAGUCCGUUAUCAAUGUAGUACACUAUGGCAACAGCUCCAGCCAUGUUCUUUUAGGGUUGGAUAUAACAAGGUUUCUUAUGCAUUUUCACUAACAAGAGGACAAAUAAUGUAAUAUAUUUCUACCUCUUUAAGAAGGUUAUUACUAACUGUGAGUACCAAAACAUUUAUGAUAUAACUGCUGCCUCUACAUGCUAUCAGGGGAAGCAGAUAAGAGGUAAAAAAUGAAGAUAACAAGCAGGUUAGAGGUGAAGGAAUGAAAGCAAUAAGCAGGUUAAAGGUGAAGGAAUGAAGAUAACAAGCAGGUUAGAGGUGAAGGAAUGAAGAUAACAAGCAGGUUAGAGGUGAAGGAAUGAAGAUAACAAGCAGGUUAGAGGUGAAGGAAUGAAGAUAACAAGCAGGUUAGAGGUGAAGGAAUGAAGAUAACAAGCAGGUUAGAGGUGAAGGAAUGAAGAUAACAAGCAGGUUAGAGGUGAAGGAAUGAAGGCAAUAAGUAGGUUAGAGGUGAAGGAAUGAAGAUAACAAGCAGGUUAGAGGUGAAGGAAUGAAGGCAAUAAGUAGGUUAGAGGUGAAGGAAUGAAGAUAACAAGCAGGUUAGAGGUGAAGGAAUGAAGAUAACAAGCAGGUUAGAGGUGAAGGAAUGAAGAUAACAAGCAGGUUAGAGGUGAAGGAAUGAAGAUAACAAGCAGGUUAGAGGUGAAGGAAUGAAGGCAAUAAGUAGGUUAGAGGUGAGGGAAUGAAGGCAAUAAGUAGGUUAGAGGUGAGGGAAUGAAGGCAAUAAGUAGGUUAGAGGUGAGGGAAUGAAGGCAAUAAGUAGGUUAGAGGUGAGGGAAUGAAGGCAAUAAGUAGGUUAGAGGUGAGGGAAUGAAGGCAAUAAGUAGGUUAGAGGUGAAGGAAUGAAGGCAAUAAGUAGGUUAGAGGUGAGGGAAUGAAGGCAAUAAGUAGGUUAGAGGUGAGGGAAUGAAGGCAAUAAGUAGGUUAGAGGUGAAGGAAUGAAGAUAACAAGCAGGUUAGAGGUGAGGGAAUGAAGGCAAUAAGUAGGUUAGAGGUGAAGGAAUGAAGGCAAUAAGUAGGUUAGAGGUGAGGGAAUGAAGGCAAUAAGUAGGUUAGAGGUGAAGGAAUGAAGGCAAUAAGUAGGUUAGAGGUGAGGGAAUGAAGGCAAUAAGUAGGUUAGAGGUGAGGGAAUGAAGGCAAUAAGUAGGUUAGAGGUGAGGGAAUGAAGGCAAUAAGCUCGUUAAAAGUGAAAGAAUGAAUGUGAUAUAAGAGGUUGAGGGCUAUUUUUGACAUUCCAUGGAACGCACUAUAUGUAUUUUAUUUUUUAUUUGAAGGUAAAAAAAAAAAGUAAAUAAAAAAGGCUAAUAAAAAGCCUCAAUUAGCCUCCAAACAUCCUAACUCAAUUUGAGAAAGAUCACCGUGAAUUUCAUAUGUACUGAUCCAGAAUUGAAAUGUAACAGCAUAUAGUAAUGCUCUGAACUGACAUACAUCAUAAGGGAGUACUGAGCUGGUUGCCAAGAAAUAAAUCAUCACAAACAAACAUACAUAUACAUCACAACAUUCAUACAUAUACAUUUACACACCAUACAUACCCAUACACACAUAUAUACAUACAUAUCUACAUUACAAAAAAAGUAUGUAAAUCAUAACAAAAUAAACAUAAAAUACUGCUAUAGCGAGUCAUCAUCUUAUUCAUGAGCCGUUAUCUUUCCCCGCAGGAUGUGAGAGUCUCAUGUGUCUCUCUCCCAAGCAUUUCCAUUUAAAGUCUGUCCUGUGCCUCGACUUCCCAGUGUUGGUGUGAGCAUUCCAUACACUAUAUUUCAUUAGGCCAUCUGGUAAGUGACCUUCCUCUUUUGUUAUUACCAGUUAGGCUACUUCUCAGUCUGGCACAUGUUCUCCAUUAGUUGUCCCUUAUCUGAUAUAUAUGUCCUAAACAUCGCCAUACUUUGAUUUUAAUUGUCACUAUCUCUGAACUAUUAAUAGCACAAAAUGGCAUGAUAUUUUUGCCUCUUAAAAUUGGGUAAUUAUUGUUGAAUAAAGUGUAGCUGUUCUGAUGAAUGGGACUGACUUGAGGUACAUACUAAAAAUAUAACUUGACACACCUUGCCCUCAAAUAUACCCAGUACAACCACCAAUAAAUACUUGGUAACGUAUUAUUCACAUUCCAGAUGAAGCUUCUAGGGGGCACAUUGGUCCAUUAUGGCACAGAGACUAUCAAGGGUGAGGCCAUUACUUAGUGGCCUUCCUGCCUUGCUCUGGCCCGGGCAUGAGUGCUGAGGAGUGUCAAGAUAUAACACACAUUGCCACACCUUCCACCAUUAUCUGCUUCCUGACACUUACAAAUGCCAUGCUCUUGGAAAUAUUUUUUUUAUAUAAAAUGUAUUUCAUAAUAAAACAAAAAAUAAUUAUCAGUUACUAUUACUACUGGUAGAAUUAGUAUCACUUGAUAUUUCAAACACCAUUCCUAUAUUAUGCUUAUACAUAUCAAACUAUGAAGAUAAUUACUUUUUGUACUAUUAUCAUUAUGAUUAUUUUUUUUAAUUACUUUCAUGUUAAUUAUUUUCAAUAUUUUUUUUCUGUAGAAAACAUGGUCUGUCCUCGAAAAUUUGAAAUUCUCUCUCUCUCUCUCUCUCUCUCUCUCUCUCUCUCU